rfam:Cavia porcellus supercont2_130 genomic scaffold, whole genome shotgun sequence.
GACUACGGCCAUACCACCCUGAACGCGCCCCAUCUCGUCUGAUCUCGGAAGUUAAGCAGGGUCGGGCCUGGUUAGUACUUGGAUGGGAGACAUUGACUUCUAAUGAGAGACAGGCAACAUCACAAGCU